rnacentral:rRNA from 1 species
GGAAUCGCUAGUAAUGGCGCAUCAGCUACGGCGCCGUGAAUACGUUCCCGGGCCUUGUACACACCGCCCGUCACAUCAUGGAAGUCACUUGUAGCCGAAGUCGGCGUGCUAACCGCAAGGAGGCAGUCGCCUACGCUAUGAGCGGUAACUGGGAUGAAGUCGUAACAAGGUAGCCGUAGGGGAACCUGCGGCUGGAUCACCUCCUUUCUAAGG